ACAUACGACCAUAGGGUGUGGAAAACAGGGCUUCCCGUCCGCUCAGCCGUACUGAAGCCACACGCCGGUGAGUUAGUAGUUGGGUGGGUGACCACCAGCGAAUCCUCACUGUUGUAUGUU
rnacentral:rRNA from 1 species